UGAUGGGGCAGCCUAUGGACCUGAACUUCCAACUUUUUGAAACAGCAGCUCUUUUCAUAACUGUUAUAGUCGUAGCCUUCUUUCUGCAGGAAGGAACCUCUAAUUACUUCAAAGGACUAAUGCUCAUUCUUUGCUAUGUAAUUGUUGCUGCAAGUUUCUUUGUGCAUGAAGAUCCUAUGGAGGAUAAACAGUUAAAACCAUAGCUAUCUAUUGUGGCAGCAAGUUUAUCACCGGGAUUUGGUCCAUCAUGUUGGUGUGUAUAUAUCCACUUUGAAACAUUUAAUUUUUCCGGCUUAUGCUACUGCUUGUUCAGUUAAUGCUAUUGAACAGGUGCCGUGCCCAUUUUUUAUUCAUUUUCUUCCGGUGCCUGAUUUGAGACUCG
rnacentral:misc_RNA from 1 species